CCAAGGUCAUAACACGUCAUAACAUAACCUAAGAAACACGCAUAAACAUGUUUAUUUUUCUUUAAAAACAAUGUGUUGUUUGAAAUACUUAAUUAUUUUUAUUUGACCAACUGCGCUCAUAUAUGAUUCGGCUUAAUUCGGCAAUAGAACAAUGCCAAGUAUUUUAUCUUUUUUUUGAAUGAACAAAAAUGUCCCGAGCAGAUACUCGAUAAUUAGAAAGUUAACCAGUUUGGAUUCACAUAUUAACGUUAACAAGAAGUCUGCUGCAGUGUCACAUCCGUCCAACAUGAAAGAGGUCAAAGAAAAAGUCCACGGAACGUUUUACGUGGUUUUUAUAUCCCUUUUAUUAGAUUUAUUGGCCUUUACAAUGAUAUUACCUUUGCUGCCAUCGCUCCUAGACCAUUAUAGGGAAAAUGACACCACAGGAUUGUACUCCUGGCUUUCACGCCAAGUUUACUUUUUCCAAAAAAUGGUCGGGGCUCCGGAUAAGUUUAACUCGGUACUGUUUGGAGGCUUUCUUGGGUCGAUGUUUAGCUUUCUGCAAUUCGUCACAUCACCCAUCAUUGGCGGCAUAUCCGAUGUUGUCGGCCGAAAAAUAGUCAUGCUUGUUUGUAUGGUGGGAAUCUCCCUCUCAUAUGUACUAUGGGCCUUGUCGAACAAUCUUGUACUCUUUAUAUUGGCUCGCAUCCUCGGGGGAAUCAGCAAAGGAAAUGUUUCUAUAAGCAUGGCAAUUAUUACUGAUGUGUCUACAAUCAACACUAGAGGAAAAGGAAUGGCUUUAGUUGGUAUAGCGUUUUCUCUUGGUUUUAUUGUGGGGCCAAUGAUAGGGGCUAUAUUUGCCGUAUGGGCCAAGCAAAAAACUGGCAACUGGUUUGUUGUUCCCGCCUUAUUCGCUCUUAUGUUAUCCAUUGCUGAUGUGAUUUAUUUUGCAAUAUUUUUCAAGGAAUCGCUUCCCAAGGAAAAACGUGCCAAACAUUUUGCGGCUACUCUAGACCAUGCGAAAACCCUAAUUAACGUUAAAGAUUUAUUUCAAUUCACUGCCGUAAAGAAUAUUAAAAGCCAAGACUUAAAAGAACUUCGAAGACUGGGAUUGAUAUAUUUUGUCUAUUUAUUCAUAUAUAGCGGCCUAGAGUUUACAUUAACUUUCUUAACACACCACGUAUUCAACUACACUUCAAUGCAACAAGGGUGGAUGUUCUUUGCCAUCGGUUUAACAAUGGCGAUCAUACAAGGAGCGUUUGUUCGAAGAGUCCCUCCUCAUAAAACGCGCUCAACAGGCAUUUUGGGGCUUUGGAUCAUCAUUCCAUCAUUCAUCUCGGUUGGGCUCGCAACCGGACCUUUGCUCUUAUAUUUUGGACUGUUCCUGUACGCUGUCUGAUCACCUUUAACAAGACCUGCAGCUCAGCAACCAUGAUGAAACUGAUAGGAUAAAUCAUGCGGGCCACUCAGUAAUUUCAUUUGGAAAUAUUCUACAACAAACAUGCCUAAAGGCAGAGACAAGUAGAGACGAGAAACUAAAUGUAAAUAAUUUGUCCUGUGAGAUGAUGCUUUCUCUCUCGUUAAGUGGAAGCCGUGGCUCAGGGGGAGCCACCCGCGGUUCCAGCGAAUGCCCGCCAAUUUCAAAUAAUGUAAUAUAAUGAAGUACUCACUGUUUCAAUGCUUGAAAAUGUGUGCAAAACGUAUUUAAUGCAGCCAAAUUAGCCAUGUUGUAUUUAUAUAAGCAAAAUAAUUACUUGGACUCCACGAAUACGUCUUGUAUAUCAUUCUCAAGCUAGAAGAAAAAGAAAACAUAGAAACCAUUAUAGUAGAGUUUUAUUAUUCAUUAAUUUAUUGUUUAUUGUGUAACAGGAACAAUCCUAAUAUAAAAAAACUAUCAAUCCACAUAGAAACAAAACUUUUAUCUGGCAAACAAAAAAAUCUGCAAUUUUUUUUUUUGGUUUGCCCGGCGGCUGGAGGGACAAAAAUCUUCUCGAAGACACCCAGUGGUCCGGAACCCUAGGUAGUGUUGGAUUCUUACCAACUAAAAAACCCCCGUUUUUCUACUAUGUAAGAAUGCUUCAGCUCCAGCACCCGCAUGCGAUUACGUCACAUUCUCUC